AACGAACGCUGGCGGCAUGCCUAACACAUGCAAGUCGAACGGGAUCCUAGCUUGCUAGGUGAGAGUGGCGGACGGGUGAGUAACACGUGGGAAUCUGCCUUUUGGUUCGGGAUAACCGCGGGAAACUGCGGCUAAUACCGAAUGCCCUCGUGAGAGGAAAGAUUUAUCGCCAGAAGAGGAGCCCGCGUCCGAUUAGGUAGUUGGUGGGGUAAAGGCCUACCAAGCCGACGAUCGGUAGCUGGUCUGAGAGGAUGAUCAGCCACACUGGGACUGAGAUACGGCCCAGACUCCUACGGGAGGCAGCAGUGGGGAAUAUUGGACAAUGGGGGCAACCCUGAUCCAGCAAUGCCGCGUGAGUGAUGAAGGCCUUAGGGUUGUAAAGCUCUUUUGCCAGGGAAGAUGAUGACUGUACCUGGAGAAUAAGCCCCGGCUAACUUCGUGCCAGCAGCCGCGGUAA
rnacentral:rRNA from 1 species